GACGUAGGGUGCGAGCGUUGUCCGGAUUUAUUGGGCGUAAAGAGCGUGUAGGCGGCCUGGUAGGUCUGCUGUGAAAACUCGAGGCUCAACCUCGAGAUGUCGGCGGAAACCAUCUGGCUAGAGUCCGGAAGAGGAGAGUGGAAUUCCUGGUGUAGCGGUGAAAUGCGCAGAUAUCAGGAAGAACACCUAUGGCGAAGGCAGCUCUCUGGGACGGUACUGACGCUGAGACGCGAAAGCGUGGGGAGCGAACAGG
rnacentral:rRNA from 1 species